UCUGGGACUGCAAUGCCCCUGCUUCCCUAAAAAUUGCCCAUUAUAUUUUCCUGAAUUGGCUGUGUCCAAUGCUUCACUUAGAAUGGUGUUUUUACUUCCAGAAUGGGCACGUGUGCAAGGUACACUAUCUGCUUACCCCGGUGCGGUGCCCUCAAUUUCAGACUCUACUAGGAAGGACUCCUUUCUCCUGCUAAGGCUUAUCCCUAGUGACAGCCAUACAAACACCAGUCAUACUGGCUCAUUCACAUGCUAAUUGAUCAUCUGGAGGAGGACUAUCCCAUCUGAACACAGCACAGCCACACCAGGCCUUAAGAAUCCUUGUCAUAGGAAGAAAAGCACGGAAGGGGUUGUGCUUCUAGUCACCUGCUUAUUGUCACAGAUGAUUUGAAGCAUGGCUCGACUCUGCAAGCAGCCUCGGUCACUACCCACCCUGCUGUCUUUCUGCUGGCAAUCUCCUUCUUUCCAUGGGUGUCACAGGAAAAGCCUUGUUUUCUGCUGAUGCCAGGGAGCAUUGUAGCACGGUGGGAGAAGAAAGAAUCUUCUGCGUUUUUGUUUAUAUAGUGAGGGAAUAAGAAUUAGCAUCACCAACUUGUUCCUGACACAUUCCUGAAAAAUUCCUUGCACCUCCCAUAAAUCUGAGACACAUAUAAAAAUUUUGUUUUCAGUCUUAAAGCUAAAGACAAGCAUCAAUUUUAACAUCAAUUUUUAGAGCUAAUUGCAUUGUAAUUUAUAAUCUUAAACUGAAUUUUUAAGAGUGCUCUCAUCCUUGAAAAAAAGUGAACAUUUCAUUUUUGGUGACUAACAAUGAAGUUAUUUUAAAGGUAACUGAGCAUAGCAUGAAGAGUCCUAAAUAUAUUUAUUAGAUUGUUAAACAUAAUUAAUUGAAUCUGGUUGCCUUUGCAAGUGAAAAGCACUUUUCAUUAGCCUGACAGUUUCUUACCAAAGAACAAAAUCGCAACAUUAAAACAUAUGCAGCUUACUGAAUAAUCAUGUUAUUUGUCAGACAAGCAGAAGAAUCAUCACUGAAGUGCUCUCUCAAAGUGCCAAAUUGGGUAAUAUACAUAAUCAGGCUCCAUUUGAUUAAAUAUGUGCCCAUGGUAACAGCCACACUCAUGAUCCACAUAUUAGUAAAGCCUUGAAAUAAUCUUUGAGGGGGAUCAUGGCAACACAGCACAUCUGAAACUUCACUGGGGAGACUUUUGGAACAAAACCUACAUGCAGGUUUUCUGUGUUCCCGUGGUUGUUCUUUAUUUUAUCUUAUUAUCUCUUAUUUUUAAAACAAUGCAUGCCUCAGUUCUCAAAGGUGAUAUAUUGCUUCCACAAAAUGUCACUACAAUUUUAUCCCUAAAAGGACUAUCUCUUAACCAUCUGCAUCACAUUUUAAGGCCUAAAACCUUCCUAUAUUUAGGGAUGCAUCCCAGCAAUUGGCAAGGCUGCUGCAAGCUGUUUCUAGGAGGUGGGAACAAUCAUCACCUGGAAGCCAGCCCAUCUCGGAUCGACUAUUUUCUCCCAGUCCAGGAGAGCCUGGUGAUGGAUAAGGCCUUCUGGAUGUUCUUUUAGACUUUUGCAGGAGCCUCGUGAAGAGACUGCAAGGUCUUAGCAAGGAGACUGAUUUUGCAUCAAAUCCAAGCCUCUGAGAGAGCCUGCAAGCACUGUGCUACUGCCAACCCACAGGGAACGAGACUGGAGGGUACUGUUCGGGUAACAGUGGAACCCAAGAGAGUUUGUUUAGCUGUAGAUGCAAUAUGAAUUGUUCCUGCAGUUUAUUUUUACAUGCUUAGAGGAUGAAUGAGUUUGGAAAGUCAGAAGGAACCAGCAGAAUGAAUUAUUAGGGGUUAUUUUUACAAAAUGAGAGAAAUAUAUCUCCUGGUGCAAUAGUGUAUAUUCAGGACCGAUGAGACUUGCUGCUUUUGCAGUAAUGCCUACUGAGAAACACUUAAAGAAGCUUUUUCCCCGGGUAAGGAGGAGACCAAGAUGCAGAAAAGUUCCCCCAGAUGAGGGGACCAGGGAAAGACUGGUCUGUAGCAGGGAAACCUAUGCAACAUACGCUGGGAGUCUGGCAGGAGAUGAUUGCUGAGACUCAGUCCUGGCCAGCCUGCUCCAGAGGGCUAAGGUAUACAUGGCUUGUCUGGCCAUAUCAACUCUCCCACCACUGCAAGAAAGCCAUAGCGUACCCAUGUGCAGACACCUCAACCUGAAGAGAUAGGACCUGGCAUCAAGGGCCCCUGUUUGCAGAUAUAUGAUGGAGAGUCUGUGACUGAAAGAUUGUGAAAAAUAAAUGCACAAAGAUGAUUUAGGUUGUCUUUUAACUUUCGAGAAGGAGAGGGCUAUCCCAAGCAUAUGGGAAACACAGAAUGACUAAAAAGCUUAGGCAGGGGAAGCACAGGGGAAGACUUUAUUCUGUGUUUUGGCGGAUACCUGACAGAGAGGGGGGAGCACUUCCUCCAAGAGGCUGUUGACACAGGCAGUCAUGUUGCAUCCUUCGACUGGAGGGCAAGAACACUGUAAAUCCAGUCCACAUGAAGUUGUCAAAUUGUUAUAGAUCAUAGAAUCAUAGAAUCAUAGAAUAGUUUGGGUUGGAAGGGACCUUAAAGAUCAUCUAGUUCCAAUCCCCCUGCCAUAUUGCAGUGUUAGGAUUACACUUACUGAGGUGAAAAUAGGCCUGUGGAUUCACACUUGUCAUGCAGCGUAUGUUUAUCAGUGUGUAACCUUUCUCCACAUUAGCAUGCUCUUAACCAUACCUAGGGGCAAAGGAUCCAUAAUCCUCAGCAAUAUAAUUUAACAUCAGUGGUCAAAUUGUACUAAAGUUGUGAAAUUCCCACAUCCCUCCCUCUUCUCUUUCGAUGAGCAUUGCUUUUAGCAUUACUCCUUAAAGCAGGGGAUUAUUCAAACUAAUUCCUUGUUGUUCACAUCAGCACCAAACAAAGUCCAGACCAAAACCCAUAUCUGCCUUGGCUGAGAGCAGGAGGACUCCAAAGGGCAUUGGAUUGUGUAUGAGCCCUGCGGUGAUGGUAGUGAUGGCUGUGCAUAUCCUAAACACCCUGUUUAGGACACUUUGUGGACAGCCACUGCUUGUGUUCAGCAGCAUGCUUGUACUGGGUAUGUCCAGACGCUUGGGACCUUCUGCAGACUGAAGGGCAUACUCUGGUCAUGGGGCUGGAGGUUUGGCAGCUUUAUGGGUGAUGAAACCAGGCUGAAAGGCACAGUGAACAUACCCUGUGCACAUGUGCAAGUGAGAGUGCUCACACAGACAUGCGUGUGUCGGCAAUAUUGGUCCCUGCUGUGAUAGUUGACUCUA